CUUCAGUGAUGAUACGAUGACGAGUCAGAAUAGGACUCAGUCUGGUUCUGAUGGGUCUCUGGGUCAGAUCCACGUUCUGUGGUUCCGGUCCAGUUCCUCAGAGCAGAGUGUCCUUUUCAGUUGAAGACAUAGAGGCAUUUGUCUGAGAAGG